rnacentral:rRNA from 1 species
GAUGAACGCUGGCGGCGUGCCUAAUACAUGCAAGUCGAGCGAACGGACGAGAAGCUUGCUUCUCUGAUGUUAGCGGCGGACGGGUGAGUAACACGUGGAUAACCUACCUAUAAGACUGGGAUAACUUCGGGAAACCGGAGCUAAUACCGUAUAAUAUUUUGAACCGCAUGGUUCAAAAGUGAAAGACGGUCUUGCUGUCACUUAUCGAUGGAUCCGCGCUGCAUUAGCUAGUUGUUAAGGUAACGGCUUACCAAGGCAACGAUGCAUAGCCGACCGGAGAGGCGGAUAGGCCACCUUGGAACGGGGACACGGUCCAGGCUCCUACGGGAGGCCGCAGUAGGGAAUCUUCCGCAAUGGGCGAAAGCCUGACGGAGCAACGCCGCGUGAGUGAUGAAGGUGUUCGGAUCGUAAAACUCUGUUAUUAGGGAAGAACAUAUGUGUAAGUAACUGUGCACAUCUUGACGGUACCUAAUCAGAAAGCCCCGGCUAACUACGUG